rnacentral:sRNA from 1 species
CGCAGCCGCGGUAAUUCCAGCUCCAAUAGCGUAUAUUAAAGUUGCUGCAGUUAAAAAGCUCGUAGUUGAAUUUCGGGACCAAUAUGUCGGUCGUGCUUUUGUACGUACUGAUAUAAUUGGUUUCUCCCUUCUGAAGAACCUUGAUGUCAUUAAUUUGGUGUCUUGGGGAAUCAGGACUGUUACUUUGAAAAAAUUAGAGUGUUUAAAGCAGGCUCGCGCUUGAAUACAUUAGCAUGGAAUAAUGAAAUAGGACGUUUGAUUCUAUUUUGUUGGUUUCUAGGAUCGACGUAAUGAUUAAUAGGGAUAGUUGGGGGCAUUAGUAUUCAAUUGUCAGAGGUGAAAUUCUUGGAUUUAUUGAAGACUAACUACUGCGAAAGCAUUUGCCAAGGAUGUUUUCAUUAAUCAAGAACGAAAGUUAGGGGAUCGAAGACGAUCAGAUACCGUCGUAGUCUUAACCAUAAACUAUGCCGACUAGGGAUCGGAUGAUGUAAUUUUUUAAUGACUCAUUCGGC